rnacentral:rRNA from 1 species
UACGUAGGGUGCAAGCGUUGUCCGGAAUUAUUGGGCGUAAAGAGCUCGUAGGCGGUUCGUCGCGUCGGCUGUGAAAACCUGAGGCUCAACCUCAGGCCUGCAGUCGAUACGGGCGGACUUGAGUACUGCAGGGGAGACUGGAAUUCCUGGUGUAGCGGUGAAAUGCGCAGAUAUCAGGAGGAACACCGGUGGCGAAGGCGGGUCUCUGGGCAGUAACUGACGCUGAGGAGCGAAAGCAUGGGGAGCGAACAGG